ACACAUGCAGUCGAGGGGUAACAGAUCUUCGGAUGCUGACGACCGGCGAACGGGUGAGUAACACGUAUGCAACUUACCCAUAACUCGGGAAUAGCCCAAAGAAAUUUGGAUUAAUACCCAAUAAUACAGGCGUACCGCAUGGUAUUCUUCGUUAAAGAAUAAUCGGUUAUGGAUAGGCAUGCGUUCUAUUAGGUAGUUGGUGAGGUAACGGCUCACCAAGCCGACGAUGGAUAGGGGAACUGAGAGGUUGUCCCCCCACACUGGUACUGAGACACGGACCAGACUCCUACGGGAGGCAGCAGUGAGGAAUAUUGGUCAAUGGACGAAAGUCUGAACCAGCCAAAUCGCGUGAAGGAAGAAGGUAUUAUGUAUCGUAAACUUCUUUUGUAAGAGAGUAAAGUGCACUACGUGUAGUGUAUUGCAAGUACCUUACGAAUAAGCAUCGGCUAAUUCCGUGCCAGCAGCCGCGGUAAUACGGAAGAUGCAAGUGUUAUCCGGAUUUAUUGGGUUUAAAGGGUGCGUAGGUGGUCUAAUAAGUCAGUGGUGAAAUCUCUUUGCUUAACAAGGAAAUUGCCAUUGAAACUGUUAGACUUGAGAAUGGACGAGGUAGGCGGAAUUCGUAGUGUAGCGGUGAAAUGCAUAGAUAUUACGAAGAACUCCAAUAGUGUAGACUGCUUACCAGACCAUAUCUGACACUAAAGCACGAAAGUGUGGGUAUCAAACAGGAUUAGAUACCCUGGUAGUCCACACAGUAAACGAUGAAUACUAACUGUUUGCGAUAUACAGCAAGUGGUCGAGCGAAAGCGUUAAGUAUUCCACCUGGGAAGUAUGCCGGCAACGGUGAAACUCAAGGAAUGACGGGGCCCGCACAGCGGAGAACAUGUGUUUAUUCGAUAUACGCGAGAACUUACCCGGGCU
rnacentral:rRNA from 1 species